rnacentral:rRNA from 1 species
AUUGAACGCUGGCGGAAUGCUUUACACAUGCAAGUCGAACGGUAGAGGGGGCAACCCCUUGAGAGUGGCGAACGGGUGAGUAAUAUAUCGGAACGUGCCCAGUCGUGGGGAUAACGUAGCGAAAGUUACGCUAAUACCGCAUACGAUCUAAGGAUGAAAGCGGGGGACUCGCAAGAGCCUCGCGCGAUUGGAGCGGCCGAUAUCAGAUUAGGUAGUUGGUGGGGUAAAGGCUCACCAAGCCAACGAUCUGUAGCUGGUCUGAGAGGACGACCAGCCACACUGGGACUGAGACACGGCCCAGACUCCUACGGGAGGCAGCAGUGGGGAAGUUUUGGACAAUGGGCGCAAGCCUGAUCCAGCAAUGCCGCGUGCAGGAUGAAGGCCUUCGGGUUUGUAAACGUAGCUUUUGUUACGGAACGAAACGGUGAGCUCUAUACAGUUUGCUAAUAG